GACGAACGCUGGCGGCGUGCUUAACACAUGCAAGUCGAACGCUGAAGCUUGGUGCUUGCACUGGGUGGAUGAGUGGCGAACGGGUGAGUAAUACGUGAGUAACCUGCCCUUGACUCUGGGAUAAGCCUGGGAAACUGGGUCUAAUACUGGAUACGACAUGUCACCGCAUGGUGGUGUGUGGAAAGGGUUUUACUGGUUUUGAAUGGGCUCACGGCCUAUCAGCUUGUUGGUGGGGUAAUGGCUCACCAAGGCGACGACGGGUAGCCGGCCUGAGAGGGUGACCGGCCACACUGGGACUGAGACGCGGCCCAGACUCCUACGGGAGGCAGCAGUGGGGAAUAUUGCACAAUGGGCGGAAGCCUGAUGCAGCGACGCCGCGUGAGGGAUGACGGCCUUCGGGUUGUAAACCUCUUUCAGCACGGAAGAAGCGAAAGUGACGGUACGUGCAGAAGAAGCGCCGGCUAACUACGUG
rnacentral:rRNA from 1 species